rnacentral:rRNA from 1 species
AGCCUGAUGCAGCGACGCCGCGUGAGGGAUGACGGCCUUCGGGUUGUAAACCUCUUUCAGUACCGACGAAGCGCAAGUGACGGUAGGUACAGAAGAAGCACCGGCCAACUACGUGCCAGCAGCCGCGGUAAUACGUAGGGUGCGAGCGUUGUCCGGAAUUACUGGGCGUAAAGAGCUCGUAGGCGGUUUGUCGCGUCGUCUGUGAAAACCCGCAGCUCAACUGCGGGCUUGCAGGCGAUACGGGCAGACUUGAGUACUGCAGGGGAGACUGGAAUUCCUGGUGUAGCGGUGAAAUGCGCAGAUAUCAGGAGGAACACCGGUGGCGAAGGCGGGUCUCUGGGCAGUAACUGACGCUGAGGAGCGAAAGCGUGGGUAGCGAACAGGAUUAGAUACCCUGGUAGUCCACGCCGUAAACGGUGGGC